CCAAGAAGUCCAACACGUGCGCGAGUCAUGGGGUCUCGAAGAAGCCCAAUGGCGCAAUGAAAUGUGAAGGUCGGUGCUGGCCGACCGAGUUGCGAUCGCGUCGCUUUGCGGCGUGCGCAGCAACGGCCCGUCCCGUUCCGCUCUGUCGGCGGGGCGGAGCUAGAGCGCACGUGUUGGGACCCGAAAGAUGGUGAACUAUGCCUGGGCAAGGCGAAGCCAGGGGAAACUCUGGUGGAGGUCUGUAGCGAUUCUGACGUGCAAAUCGAUCGUCAGACCUAGGUAUAGGGGCG
rnacentral:rRNA from 1 species